AUUGAACGCUGGCGGUAUGCUUAACACAUGCAAGUCGAACGAUGAGAAAGAGCUUGCUCUUUCGAUUAGUGGCGGACGGGUGCGUAACGCGUAGGAAUCUACCUAUUAGUGGGGGACAACUUAGGGAAACUUAAGCUAAUACCGCAUACGCCCUAUGGGGGAAAGAAGGGGAUCGCAAGACCUUUUGCUAAUAGAUGAGCCUGCGUAGGAUUAGCUAGUUGGUGGGGUAAAAGCUCACCAAGGCGACGAUCCUUAACUGGUUUGAGAGAAUGAUCAGUCACACUGGAACUGAGACACGGUCCAGACUCCUACGGGAGGCAGCAGUGAGGAAUAUUGGACAAUGGGCGAAAGCCUGAUCCAGCAAUACCGCGUGUGUGAAGAAGGCCUUAGGGUUGUAAAGCACUUUCAAUUGGAAGGAAAACCUCGAAGCUAAUACCUUCGAGUUUGACAUUACCUUUAGAAGAAGCACCGGCUAACUCCGUGCCAGCCGCCGCGGUAA
rnacentral:rRNA from 1 species